CAGCAGCCGCGGGAAUACGAAGGGGGCUAGCGUUGUUCGGAUUUACUGGGCGUAAAGGGCGCGUAGGCGGACUGAUAAGUCAGGGGUGAAAUCCCAAGGCUCAACCUUGGAACUGCCUUUGAUACUGUUUGUCUUGAGUUCGAGAGAGGUAAGUGGAACUGCGAGUGUAGAGGUGAAAUUCGUAGAUAUUCGCAAGAACACCAGUGGCGAAGGCGGCUUACUGGCUCGAAACUGACCCUGAGGCGCGAAAGCGUGGGGAGCAAACAGGAUUAGAUACCCCGGUAGUCCCUGUCUCUUAUCC
rnacentral:rRNA from 1 species